AUUGAACGCUGGCGGCAGGCCUAACACAUGCAAGUCGAACGGUAACAGGAAGAAGCUUGCUUCUUUGCUGACGAGUGGCGGACGGGUGAGGAAUGUCUGGGAAACUGCCUGAUGGAGGGGGAUAACUACUGGAAACGGUAGCUAAUACCGCAUAACGUCGCAAGACCAAAGAGGGGGACCUUCGGGCCUCUUGCCAUCGGAUGUGCCCAGAUGGGAUUAGCUAGUAGGUGGGGUAACGGCUCACCUAGGCGACGAUCCCUAGCUGGUCUGAGAGGAUGACCAGCCACACUGGAACUGAGACACGGUCCAGACUCCUACGGGAGGCAGCAGUGGGGAAUAUUGCACAAUGGGCGCAAGCCUGAUGCAGCCAUGCCGCGUGUAUGAAGAAGGCCUUCGGGUUGUAAAGUACUUUCAGCGGGGAGGAAGGGAGUAAAGUUAAUACCUUUGCUCAUUGACGUUACCCGCAGAAGAAGCACCGGCUAACUCCGU
rnacentral:rRNA from 1 species